UCAGUUUGAUCGAUUCAGUCCUCCCUUCUCAUGUAAUUAGCUCGUCUUGAUAUUCCAUUAAAUCCUUUGAUUUGAAGGGCUGAAUAUGAUAUCUUUCAGGUCAAAACAAGCUGGAAAAGAAUUUAACACUAGACUAAAACUUAACAAGGAAGAGACCAAAAACUUGAUGAAAUUAAUUUCAUCAUUACAUAGUGGUGAGAGUACUCAACUUAUAACUAACAUUAUUUGAUCUACAACUGUGUUUAAUAUGGUUAGUAAAUUACUAGGGCUCUCUUGAAAUGAUGAUUUUGGGUUUGAAUAAAAUUUGGCGAAGCAGAAGAUUUCCAAAAACCUAAUAAAUCCUUGAUAUAAAACCAUCAUAACCACACGUGAAUUUGAACAUUAUUCUAAUCUACGGAGAAGGAAAAAAGUUACCUUUUGUGCUUUUUCUUCUCGUCUUUGCUCGUCUAGAUCGACUUUCUGAUUCAAUCCUGUCUUCUUCCCAUAAAACCUUUGAUUUGAAUGGUAGAAUAUGAUACUAUGUUUCAUGCCAAAACAAAACCAUGAAAUGAAUAUUUUAAGCUAGACUUUAAACUAAACAAGGAAGAGAUCCUUCCG
rnacentral:lncRNA from 1 species